AACGAACGCUGGCGGCGUGCCUAACACAUGCAAGUCGAACGAGAAAGUUUCCUUCGGGAAACCAGUUAAAGUGGCGCAAGGGGUGAGUAACACGUGAAUAAUCUACCUAUGAAUUCGGGAUAACUCGACGAAAGUUGCGCUAAUACCGGAUAAGACCACAUCUCUUAUGUGAUGUGGCCAAAGGAGUCUCAAACUUCGUUUAUAGAUGAGUUCGCGGACCAUUAGCUUGUUGGCGGGAUAAUAGCCCACCAAGGCUACGAUGGAUAGCCGGCCUGAGAGGGCGAUCGGCCACACUGGAACUGAGACACGGUCCAGACUCCUACGGGAGGCAGCAGUGGGGAAUUUUGCGCAAUGGGCGCAAGCCCUGACGCAGCAACGCCGCGUGAUUGAAG
rnacentral:rRNA from 1 species